CAUUAUCUGUAAGUAUAGCUAAGGGUUCAGUUCAUGAGAAGGUUUCUACAAUUUAACAUUGAAUUAUCUAAGCCCUGAACAUAUAUUCUUGUGCUUGUGGCAGUGAAUAUCUCAGAUCGAUUUAGCUUCUUGAUAGACCCUUUCUCACUCAAACCCAGCACCAAUGAUUGAGAACUGCAAUAAUGCCCUGGAAUGUGUUCAUGAAGAAGGAUAAGAUGAUACAUGGAAAAUGAAAAAGAAAAGAAAAAAUUAAUGAGGAAAGCUAAAGGACCAGAAAGGAACAGCAUAAAUUAUAGAAAUUCACAGUGUCAAUCAGAAUUCACUUCAGAAUCUUCAGAAUUAACAUGGGCAACUUGCAGGAAAUAAGAGAAAUAUUUGACCUACUGGCAUUUUUGAGAGACACAGAGGGAUAGAAGACACAUGAAGAGAUUCAAGACAUUGCCAAACAUAAUGUAUGUUUUGAGGCAAAGGAAAUCACUGUGACUUUCUGACCAAUAAUCUUACCUUCAGGUGAAGAAUUAACAUCACUCAAAACAAGUAAGUUUCUCAAGAUUGCAGAAGAAAAGAAAAAAAGGUAAAAAUGAGAACUAGUUAGCCUUGGCUCAUCAGUUAAGACAGCUUUUUUCACUUCAGGAGCAAAAAUCAUAGCUGUUAUCAAUUCAUAUAGUCCUGUUGACUUAAAGAACAAUACAAAAGGAUCCUGCCCCAUGUCUUCCUUUGAUCAGGUAACAAAUAAAAUUUGGUGGGGAUUUUGGAGCAGGAAUAGAUUUCAGCUACAGUGUUUUCUCCUCCAAAUAGGAAGGGGAUUUAUAGCCCAGUGAUUGUUCCCAGUCUUUGUGUAAAGCCCUUCCCCACUUUUUUAAACAAACAAUAAGGAAGAAAGGCACCUGAUACCCAGUAUUUCUGCUGAAGUCUGAGGUCAAACAAGAGGGCUAAUUAUGCCCUGUCUUCUUCCUUUCAUCUAGAUGAAGGGUAUUAAGAAACAUAAAAUUUCCUGGUUUAAUCUUCCUUACGAUCUGUGAAUAAGUGACUGGCAAAGACAUAGCCAAAGCUGUAGAAAUGAGGGUGUCAGGAGGGAUUGGGAGACCCAAUGGAAGCACUCUGUUUUAUAUGACAGAACAUUCCACUGUAGUGAAUGUAACAGUUUAAUUUCGACCCAGGCCACAUGAAUACUAUCUGUGACUCAAAGCGCUAGUCUAUUUUACCUUUUCCUGCCUUCAGCAUUUCAUCGCUGCUUUUCUUACCCUACCAUAUCUACCCUGUGCUUCCCUAUGCAGAACUUUGCUACACAUUUUUUCGCCUUCUCUGCCAGUCCUCUUCUG
rnacentral:lncRNA from 1 species